rnacentral:rRNA from 1 species
GGAGGAAGCAGGGGAUCGCAAGACCUUGCGCUUUUGGAGCGGCCGAUGUCUGAUUGGCUUGUUGGUAAGGUAAAAGCUUACCAAGGCUUCGAUCAGUAGCUGGUCUGAGAGGACGACCAGCCACACUGGGACUGAGACACGGCCCAGACUCCUACGGGAGGCAGCAGUGGGGAAUUUUGGACAAUGGGGGCAACCCUGAUCCAGCCAUGCCGCGUGAGUGAAGAAGGCCUUCGGGUUGUAAAGCUCUUUCAGCCGGAACGAAACGGUUACGGUUAAUACCCGUGACUACUGACGGUACCGGAAGAAGAAGCACCGGCUAACUACGUGCCAGCAGCCGCGGUAAUACGUAGGGUGCGAGCGUUAAUCGGAAUUACUGGGCGUAAAGCGUGCGCAGGUGGUUUUGUAAGUCAGAUGUGAAAUCCCCGGGCUCAACCUGGGAACUGCGUUUGAAACUACAAAGCUAG